rnacentral:rRNA from 1 species
UGGGGAAUAUUGCGCAAUGGGGGGAACCCUGACGCAGCCAUGCCGCGUGAAUGAAGAAGGCUUUCGGGUUGUAAAGUUCUUUCGGUAUUGAGGAAGGUUGAUGUGUUAAUAGCACAUCAAAUUGACGUUAAAUACAGAAGAAGCACCGGCUAACUCCGUGCCAGCAGCCGCGGUAAUACGGAGGGUGCGAGCGUUAAUCGGAAUAACUGGGCGUAAAGGGCACGCAGGCGGUUAUUUAAGUGAGGUGUGAAAGCCCCGGGCUUAACCUGGGAAUUGCAUUUCAGACUGGGUAACUAGAGUACUUUAGGGAGGGGUAGAAUUCCACGUGUAGCGGUGAAAUGCGUAGAGAUGUGGAGGAAUACCGAAGGCGAAGGCAGCCCCUUGGGAAUGUACUGACGCUCAUGUGCGAAAGCGUGGGGAGCAAACAGGAUUAGAUACCCUGGUAGUCCACGCUGUAAACGCUGUCGAUUUGGGGGUUGGGGUUUAACUCUGGCGCCCGUAGCUAACGUGAUAAAUCGACCGCCUGGGGAGUACGGCCGCAAGGUUA